GAGACCCACGCCCACAGUUGCCAGCGUACUCUCUGGAGUGACGGGUACAUUGUGGAGACCGCCGCUGCUAAAGCGGAGGAAGGAAUGGGCAACGGUAGGUCAGUAUGCCCCGAAUGUCCCGGGCUACACGCGGGCUACAAUGGUUGGUACAAUGGGUAUCUACCCCGAAAGGGGAUGGAAAUCUCCUAAAGCCAAUCUUAGUUCGGAUCGAGGGCUGCAACUCGCCCUCAUGAAGCUGGAAUCCGUAGUAAUCGCGUUUCAAUAGAACGCGGUGAAUAC
rnacentral:rRNA from 1 species